GAUGAAGAACGCAGCGAAAUGCGAUAAGUAAUGUGAAUUGCAGAAUUCAGUGAAUCAUCGAAUCUUUGAACGCACCUUGCGCUCCUUGGUAUUCCGAGGAGCAUGCCUGUUUGAGUGUCAUGAAAUUCUCAACCUUUUCAGCUUUCUUUGUUGAUCAGGCUUGGAUGUGGGAGUAUGCGGGCUUCUCAGAAGUCGGCUCUCCUGAAAUGCAUUAGCGGGACCUUUGUUGCCUGGCUUUGGUGUGAUAAUUAUCUACGCCAUUGUAGUCAAGCAGCUUAAAAUGAGGUUUCAGCUUCUAACCGUAUCCCCUGAGACAACUUUUUGACAAUUUGACCUCAAAUCAGGUAGGACUACCCGCUGAACUUAAGCAUAUCAAUAAGCGGAGGA
rnacentral:misc_RNA from 1 species